UUGGGACCGAGUAUUGCAAUUAUUGGUCGCGCAACGAGGAAUGUCUCGUAGGCGCAGCUCAUCAAACUGUGCCGAUUACGUCCCUGCCAUUUGUACACACCGCCCGUUCGUUGUUUCCGAUGAUGGUGCAAUACAGGUGAUCGGACCGUCGCGUGUCUCACGUGACCGAAAGUUCACCGAUAUUGCUUCAAUAGAGGAAGCAAAAGUCGUAACAAGGUAGCUGUAGGUGAACCUGCAGCUGGAUCAUUU
rnacentral:ncRNA from 1 species